rnacentral:rRNA from 1 species
UGAGUAACCUGCCCUUAACUCUGGGAUAAGCCUGGGAAACUGGGUCUAAUACCGGAUAUGACUCCUCAUCGCAUGGUGGGGGGUGGAAAGCUUUAUUGUGGUUUUGGAUGGACUCGCGGCCUAUCAGCUUGUUGGUGAGGUAAUGGCUCACCAAGGCGACGACGGGUAGCCGGCCUGGGAGGGUGACCGGCCACACUGGGACUGAGACACGGCCCAGACUCCUACGGGAGGCAG